GCAGCCCGUGUGAGGGAGCAGGCGGCACUGCUGGGGUGCCGUUCGGGUGCACGGGCGCCAAAAGCCCCUGUGGUGGCCACUGGGAGGUGACUAGGUGGGGACAGCCUCUCCACCGUGACUGUGUGGCACCAGCGCAGGGUCAGGGUGACUCCCACGCGAAAUGACCCAUGGCUGGGUGUCGAGCACACGUGUGCCCCAAGGUUUGCUGCUUUCUGAGAGCGUAGGUUGUUUUUUUCCCCCCUCAUUAGGCUGAUGGGGGGAUCUCUGGAGCCCCCUAGGACCAGCAGCAAGAGGGGCAGUGGGUGAUGGUGAGAUAUCAGGCUGGUGCUUGGGGAAAAAGGACCACGGACCCACCAGGGUCAGCAGCAGCUUAUUUAUUCAGCCUUAGAAAGACAGACAGCGGGCAUCACGGACAGAGUCCGCUACAGAAUAAAUACCCAGCGAAUACUGCCCUGGGUUAGCGCUGUUUGCUGAAGCGACCACCUCCUCUCUGGUGGCUUCAUGUGUGUGGACAGACCGGUGCUGCCCUGAGGGUCACGACUGGAGCAACCAAAUCUCAGAUAUCCUCUUGUUUUCUACCUAGCCCCCACCGAGGUGAACGUGCCCACUGAGGUGCUAUUCAGGCCAGGAAUUAUUUUCUUAGACUUGGAGAAUAACAUCAGAAACCGUGGCAUCAUGUGGAUACUACAGAGGAUUCGGGGCCAUUAGAGAUCAGGACAGUGGUUCUGCUUCUUGUCCACAUCUGGCAGCAGCUCAGGUCAUCCUCACCCUGGCUCACAGCACGCAGGA
rnacentral:lncRNA from 1 species